rfam:Gossypium hirsutum cultivar TM-1 chromosome 9, whole genome shotgun sequence
AACCCAUGGUGAGGGUACCUUCUCAGUAAGUCCUUGUAUCUGUUCCAUACAUCAUAGAGGGUUUCUAAAUUCAUCUACAUAAAAGAAGAGAUAUCAUUGCGUAAUUU